CAAACUAGUCGUAUAAAAGUGUACCGAAAUACCCCUAUAAUACUAUACAUUACAGCUGGCGACGAAGGAUAAAUUUUAAUUCAAGUGUUUAGUUUUUGGUAACUAUCCGUUGGGAUUCCGUCCAACAUUAGUUAGCUGGCGCUCCGGUAGUGCAGAAAAAAAAACUUAGCAGACGAAGAAAGGUUGAAUUGUUUGAAACAAAGGUUUCCGGACUGCGCAUUGACCAUACUUUUCCGGCAACGGUUGAAAGGAAGUUGCUAAUUGGCAUCAGUGAAAGUGAACAUCCUGUGACGAGUUUUAAACGAAUUUCUGUUCGGAUUCUUGUUCGAAACUGGUGACAAAUCUGUUCGGAUACGUUCAGCGAUUUUUCCGCUCCGCUGGUUGAGCGGCUAGCAAACCGCUUACUGGCUGGCAUACGUAAAGGUCUGGAUAAUUUGGUAGCAAUUGGAAGCGUGCAAACCACUGCUCAUCGAACCCAAAUUCGUCCGGC